UGUCUAUGUGCAUUUUGGACAUUAUCUUCCACCCAUUUAAUUAAAUAUCCUUUUAGUUUAAUUGGUGAUUUCAAAAUGGAUUGUGUAACUGUGUGUUUCUGUGAGUAGACCCUGUGAUGGAUUUAUACCUAGUCCAGGAUUGGUUUCUGUUUUGUGUCAAAUGCUUCUAGAGUAGCAUCAAGACCCCAUAAUCCUGACCGAGGACUUCAGGUUCUGUUUAGUUGCAGGGAAUGUUUUGAAAUUAAAGGUUUUAAAACGGGGCAGUUUCUUGUUUCUUGUCAUGCUCCCCUAGCUCUAACAUGGCUUGAAAUCUACACUUGACUGCACACAGCUCAGAUAUUUGCAUGUGUCGAUCAAACUUUACAUGCUUCACUGUACUUCCUGCCAUUAUCUGAUUAAAUUCUCUGCUGUUUGUUAUGCUGUAGCUCACCAUUCAUUUGCCCAGCCUAAACUAUGAGUGCAGUGACAUUUCUUACAUUGGUUCUUGUCCUCUGGACUAAGAGUACCAGUGGGGACAUUGUGGUCACUCAGUCUCCGUCCAUUGUGUCUGCUGUUCCUGGCAGCACUGUGACCAUCACAUGUACGGCAGACACAAAGGUAGACGAUGACAUGUCAUUGUAUCACAAGGCCCCUGGACAGACAUACAAGCUUCUGUUUGGAGAUAGUUCCAGACAAAGUGGCGUACCUGACCGGUUUACAUUUUCUGGCUAUGACUACAAGUUUACCUUCCAAAUUAUUAAUUUCCAGCCGGAGGAUGCAGGCUUUUAUUACUGUCAGCAGAGUGAAGCUACACCUUGUACACAAUGA